UGCGUAGGCGGGCAUAUAAGUCAGAAGUGAAAGGCUACGGCUUAACCGUAGUAAGCUUUUGAAACUGUAUGGCUUGAGUGCAGGAGAGGAAAGCGGAAUUCCUAGUGUAGCGGUGAAAUGCGUAGAUAUUAGGAAGAACACCAGUAGCGAAGGCGGCUUUCUGGACUGAAACUGACGCUGAGGUACGAAAGCGUGGGGAGCGAACAGGAUUAGAUACCCUGGUAGUCC
rnacentral:rRNA from 1 species